rnacentral:lncRNA from 1 species
UUUCACAGACGAUUGUUUCUUUUCUGUGACACUGUUUGCUACUUACUAGCUAUGUAAUGCUGGGCAAGUUGCUGAAACCUCUGCCCUUCUGUUGCCUUGUCAGUACAAUGAGUAUAACAGUCGUAACUGCAUUGUGGAGAUUAUGUGAAGUAAUGCACGUAAGCAUAUAACACAGUGCUUGGCACAUAUUGAUAUUCAAUAAAUGUUAGCUAUUAAUUAUUGCAUAUUUUCAUAGGCAAUAUCGAAUAUGAGGAUUGUAAGAUGGACUGUGCUGGAAUGCCUAGACUGUGGAGUUGUGGAGGAGGAGUCAGCCCUCACCCAUUCUGCGACCUUGCAACAGGAUUCUCAACCACUCUGGGCCGCCUUUUCCUGAUACCGCAGCCCUGCUAGUUUAUUCUCCCCGUGGUGCCAUGAAGUGUGUUCAAUCGUCCCCAUUUUAUGAGGAGGAUACUGAGGCUUGGAGAAGAGACAGGGUCUUGCUGUGUUUCCCAGCCUGGACUUGAACUCCUGGCUUCAAGCGAUUCUUCCACCUCAGCCUCCCAAAGUGCAAGGAUAACAGGUGUGAGCCACUGUGACCACCCAGAAGCCACUUCUAAGAUCAACUUACAAAAGACUGUGACUUCCAGCUCCCUGCCAUUCUUUCUGGCUCUUCUUGCUUGCUUGGAGGAAGCAAGCUACCAUGUUGUGAGCUGCCUUGUGGAGAAGCCCAUGUGGCAAAGAACUAAGGGCCCUCUGGCCAACAGCUAGAGAGGAACUGAGACGCUCAGUCCAACAGCCUGUGGCAAAUAGAAUCCUGCCAAUAACCACGUUAGUGAUCUUGGGAAGAGAUCCUUCCGAUUUUGAGCCAGGAGAUUUCUGUGGCUUGGGCCAACACCUUGGUUGUGGACUUGUGAGAGACCCAAACCAGAGGACCCAGCCAAGCCAUGCCCAGAGUUGUGGCUUAUGGAAACCAUAAGGUGAUGCAUGCUGUUGAUUUAUGGCUUUCAUUUCCUGGGUAGUCAUACAACAAUAGGUAAAUAAUACACCUUCUUUCUUCCUUGCUAAUUGGAAAAUGGAUGUGAUAAUCGGAACUGACGUCUUAGACAAUAGAACAGACUUGGGAAUUGAGACCCUACGUGGAGUAACAGUGAGCUAGAAGGAGUCUGGGACCCUGCGACACAGCGAUGGUUCUGAAUUGUCUUUCGUUCUCAGCUGACUUCAACCUUUCCUCUUUUUGUGUUACCCUUUUAUGUAAACAAGGCUAUGUCCAGGCAAAAUGGUGAAAUAGGUCACAUUUCCCUUUGAUGCCCUUGUUGUUUCUGUAGCUUCUUUACUCUUUCCUUGAUCUUUUCCUUGUCUACCGCUCAGUCCUCUUCUGUCCCGGUCUAAUGCCCGGUCCUGCCAAGGAUCCCCUUAAAGCCCAGAUCCCAGCCCUGGACAUUUCCCUCUGCCCUCUUCUUGUAGAAUGCCCAGUUCUAAGUUCCAAAGGCCGGUGAGUAGUAUGCUGAUUUGCUUGCAGGAUAUAGGGGCAGUGGCAAGGGUGUGACUAGAAGACUGAAUACUCUAAGCGGAUUGCAAAUGAUAAGAUGUCUGGAAUUGUGAAAGAGAAUUUUUUUUUCUAACGCUGAAGGAAAGAGGGAUGAGGGAAGGCACUAGAAUGCAUGGGUGAAUGAAAAGUGAAAGCCAGCCUGUUGUUGAGAAUACGAAUUGGUAGAGAAUAUAGAUACUAUUCCUUUUGUGACUUUGGGAAGCAAUUUAUGAUUCGUGAGUCCCCUCUCUUUUGUUGCUAUUCUAGUAAAGUUUGGAUAUAACAUGAUUCUUGCUGAAGGUCAGGAGAAUUUGACCUUUUGAGCUUCCGUAAUUUAUUUCUAUUAUAGAUCUUGUAAAUGUGUUUUUCAGUGUUGUCUUCCUCGCUAGGGACCAGGUACUGGCUUUCAUUCAAAUUUGUGUUCCUGGCAACAAGCAUUGUGCCUGGCACAUAAUAGGUACUCAAUCAAUGCUGGUGUACGCUGUAAGGGAGAGCUUUAUUCCUCAAUCCCGACUUUGGAAGCAAUCUCAGGUUCAUGCAUGUGACACCUCCUUCAUAGGCAAAUAUAGGUCGUCAUUGAAGAAUUUGUUCAUUUCUUUAAUACAAAUUUAUGGAGCCCCUACUCUGUGCCAGGUACUAUUCUAGAUGAGGGGACUUGUCCAUAAAGGAACUCGACCACAGUCUCAGCUCUCACAGUGCUCCUGUACUGGCGGGGAAGACAGAAACUUAACAGGUAAAUAAGUACAUAUAUGGUAAGUUAGAUGAUAGCAAGUACUAGAGAGAAAAAGAAAGCAGAGGAGUGUGACAGUGCAGGGAGGAUGUGAGCCAGUGAAGACUCCCCAGAGGUGACCAUGGCAGAAGCUGCCUACACUCGCUGGAAUUCUGUGCUCCUCUGCACUCCCUGGCCUCUGUCGUAGUAAAGCAGACUGGGUGACUGGUGCUCGCCAAUGGAUUGCGAGCAGAAGGGGCACAUGGCACUCUCAGGCCAAGGCAAUUCAGAGCCAGUGAGCUUUCUCCAUCCCUGUCUUCUGCCUUGGAGCAUUUAGAGGCCAUGUGUUCAGAAAACAGUAUCACCAGAUGGGAAGAACUGGGUUCCUGAGAACUGGAUGGAGGAGAGAACUGCUUGCCUUCCUUGUAUUUAUUGCCCUGACUAAUGCAGUGACAUUUGAGCAAAGCCCUGAAGAAGGUGAGGGAGUGAGCCAAAUACUUACCUUGGGGGAGGAACACUCCAGGCAGAAGGAACAUGAGUGACACCUGGACAGGUUGAGAAACCUACAGAGAACCAAUUUUACUUCUCUCCAGACUGCUUGGAUGUUUUGACUCAAUUAAAAACCCUUACACCAGGUUUUGGUUUUGGCUUUUAAAAUUAUUAUUAUUUAUUAUUAUUUUUGAGGUGGAAUCUCACUCUGUCGCCCAGGCUGGAGUGCAAUGACGCAAUCUUGGCUCACUUCAACCUCCACCUCUUAUGUUCAAGGGAUUCUCCUGCCUCAGCCUCCCGAGUAGUGGGGAUUACAGGUGCCUGCCACCAUGCCUGGCUUAUUUUUAGUAGAGACAGGGUUUCGCCAUGUUGGCCAGGAUGAUCUUGAACUCCCCCCUCAGUGAUCUGCCUGCCUUGACCUCACAAAGUGCUGGGAUUACAGGUGUGAACUACCUCACCUGGACACAUUAUUUUAAUAAGCUUGAUUUUUUAGAGUAAUUUUAGGUUCACAGCAAAAUUGAGAGGAAGGUACAGAGACUUCUAUGCACUGCCUGCCCCAGGCACUGGUGGCCUCCCUCACCAGAGUGCCACAUUUGUUACAUCUGAGGACCCUGCAUGACACAUCAUUAUAGCAUUAUCAUCCACAUCUAUAGUUUACCUUUGGGUUCAUUCUCCAUGUUGUACAUUUUGUGGCUUUGGACAAAUGUAUGACAUUUCCACUAUUAAAGCAUCAUAUAGAGUUGAUUCACUGCCCUAAAAAUUCUCUGUGCUCCAACAAAGUCCCUUUUUAAAAAAGGAAAAAAAGCCAGUUUAUUUGCAAUUGUGAGGGGGGAGAAAAAGACAGGGUCCAAUCUCCUAUUCUCUGCCUUUGUUUGUUUGUUUGUUUCGUUUUUGUUUUUUUGAGAUGGAGUCUCAUUCUGUCGCCCAGGCUGGAGUGCAGUGGCGUGAUCUCUGCUUAUUAAAACCUCUGCCUCCCAGGUUCAAGCCAUUCUCCUGCCUCAGCCUCCUGAGUAGCUGGGACUACAGGUGCCCGCCACCAUGCCCGGCUAAUUUUUUGUAUUUUUAGUAGAGACGGGGUUUCACCGUGUUAGCCAAGAUGGUCUCAAUCUCCUGACCUUGUGAUCCGCCCACCUCAGCCUCACAAAGUGCUGGGAUUACAGGUGUGAGCCUCCAUGCCUGGCCUGUUCUCUGGCUUUUGCUCUCUGGUACAGACUUUAUUUUCCCCUCAGGAGAGAUGUGGCUUAUUCUAUAUGCAGGGGUAACAGUGAUGUCUGGGUUGGGGUCUGCAUCCUUCUGUCUUGGUGACAGCUGGGGGGAUAGAGCUGAGUGUAAGGACACCAUCCAACUGUAGCAGUCCUUAGUGGCGCUCCCUUCUAGUUCCUGUGCCCCUUUCAGGCCAGCCCGCACCCCUUCCCAAGGCUCACAGACAACUUUUUUCUCACUGGCUUCAUUUCUCUAAGACAACUUCACAAAAGCUCCAUUGUAAUCACUAUCUGCUCAACUGCUUCAUCUUACUUACAAGUUUGGUAAAUGCAAACGUUCCUCUGUCUAGGUCUUACAGACCUGUAGGAAGUUACCUUUGAUGAAUGGUACAUUUGAAGUCAAAACAUACUCUCUGAACCCCAAACAUAGUAUAGCUUUUGGUACUCUUUCCAAAAAGAAGAAAAUCAUAAUACUAUUCUAUAUGGAAAAGUUCCAAUAUAUAAGUUGACACAAAUUUUACCUUUAAAAAAAAAUUCCAAUACCCGUGUUUAGGUAAGUACAAAUGAAACUUUAAGAAAUUCCAGUAUCAAUGUUUUUCAGACUCAGAUAUUGUUUAGAUCCUUUGUAAGGGGAAAAGAUUCUCAUAGAUAUCUAGAGUUAGCUUUUUAAAAAUAAUGUUGCAUACAUAUGUCUGUGUAUGUAUGUAUGUAAGCAAACACAAAACUAAGGACUCCUGAGUUUUAUAGAUUUGAUCCAUCUAUAAAACUAAAAACAUAAUUAAAUACAAACAAAACUACCAAAUGAGGCAAUUCAAAUCUAAAAUUUUGAUUUAAUGUAAGGAAUGAUAUGUUGCUGAAGCCAAUAGUAUGUGAUGAGUCAGCUCUCCCACAACCUUUCUUAGGACAGCACACCACAAUAGAAUUUGCCUGUAACUUGGUGUGACCACAUAACUCAUUUUAAAAAUCCUCUGUUGCUUCUUUGAAAACCAAGGCGUGAGGGAACGAUCCAAGAUGGCUAAUCGCUAACAUCUCGGGAUUGCAGCUCCCAGCGAAAGCGCAGAGAACCAGAGGACGCCACACUUUCAGACAAAUUUUGGUCGCUCACGGAGCAGAAGAUUCCCAGUGGAGGAGCUGCAUGGGUCGCCAGGGCGACUCUUGUGGCCAGCACAGCGGUUUCGCCGGCACCUCGGCUCGGCAGCACUUGGUGCAGAGUAAACGGGACUGGUUCCCCUUCUGACCGACGUUCAGAGCUCCGGGAAGGCAGAAUCACCUAUUACAGACUCAAGAAGAAAGCCAGACUGGAGAUUCCGGGGCAGAAAAGCACCAUCAGUCUUAAUGCCGCUGUUUUGGCCAGCGCAGUUGGUUGCUCAUAUUUCGGCCCUGGGAAUUAACAACUUGGACAUCCACUCAGAGACCUAAUUUGGAAGUUGGUAAUUACAAAGACCACAGGUGGAUAAAUUUACAAUGAUGGGAAGAAACCAGCAUAAAAAGGCUGAGAAUACUCAAAAUCAGAACGCCUCUCCCUCUAAAGAGGAUCACAGUUCCUCAUCAACAAGGGAACAAGACUUGAUGGAGAACGGGUGCAUUCCAUUAACAGAAUCAGGCUUCAGAAGAUGAAUAAUAAGAAACUUCUGUGAGUUAAAAGACCAUGUUGUAGCCCAAUGUAAAGAAACUAAGAACUUUGAAA